GAUCCUGGCUCAGGAUGAACGCUAGCGGCAGGCUUAACACAUGCAAGUCGAGGGGCAGCGCGGGAUAGCAAUAUCCUGGCGGCGACCGGCGGAAGGGUGCGUAACGCGUGAGCGACAUGCCCGUUGCCCGGGGACAACCGGUGGAAACGCCGACUAAUCCCCGAUGGGAUAUUGUGCCGCAUGGCACGAUAUUGAAAGUUACGGCGGCGACGGAUUGGCUCGCGUCCGAUUAGCUUGUUGGCGGGG
rnacentral:rRNA from 1 species